GAAGAAUAGUCACCCGAGGCUUGUUAGGUAGUCUGAAGAAUAGUCACCCGAGGCUUGGUAGGUAGUCUGAAGAAUAGUCACCCGAGGCUUGGUAGGUAGUCUGAAGAAUAGUCACCCGAGGCUUGGUAGGUAGUCUGAAGAAUAGUCACCCGAGGCUUGGUAGGUAGUCUGAAGAAUAGUCACCCGAGGCUUGGUAGGUAGUCUGAAGAAUAGUCACCCGAGGCUUGGUAGGUAGUCUGAAGAAUAGUCACCCGAGGCUUGGUAGGUAGUCUGAAGAAUAGUCACCCGAGGCUUGGUAGGUAGUCUGAAGAAUAGUCACCCGAGGCUUGGUAGGUAGUCUGAAGAAUAGUCACCCGAGGCUUGGUAGGUAGUCUGAAGAAUAGUCACCCGAGGCUUGGUAGGUAGUCUGAAGAAUAGUCACCCGAGGCUUGGUAGGUAGUCUGAAGAAUAGUCACCCGAGGCUUGGUAGGUAGUCUGAAGAAUAGUCACCCGAGGCUUGGUAGGUAGUCUGAAGAAUAGUCACCCGAGGCUUGGUAGGUAGUCUGAAGAAUAGUCACCCGAGGCUUGGUAGGUAGUCUGAAGAAUAGUCACCCGAGGCUUGGUAGGUAGUCUGAAGAAUAGUCACCCGAGGCUUGGUAGGUAGUCUGAAGAAUAGUCACCCGAGGCUUGGUAGGUAGUCAGUACAACGACAAUGAGAAUACCAUGGCUGAAACCAUCAAUCUGUUCUGGUGAGAUUUUAGGGAGGAUUAUGGAUUUCUGAACUGUUUAUUUUAUUUAAAAAAUAUGUUUUUACCCCCUUUUUUCUCCCCAAUUUCGUGGUGUCCAAUUGUAGUAGCUACUAUCUUGUCUCAUCGCUACAACUACCGUACGGGCUCAGGAGAGACGAAGGUUGAAAGUCAUGCGUCCUCCAAUACACAACCCAACCUAGCCGCACUGCUUCUUAACACAGCGCGCAUCCAACCCGGAAGCCAGCCGCACCAAUGUGUCGGAGGAAACACUGUGCACCUGGCAACCUUGUAGGACGGCCGGGGUGUUAAGCAUGUCCCAGUUUAGGUCACUUAACAGUAUGAGCUCUGAAGAUAGCUGGGGGGCAUUCAAUUCACAUAUGGUGUCCAAGGCACAGCUGGGUGCAGAAGGUGGUCUAUAGCAUGCGGCAACAGUGAAGUGGAUUUUUAGAAGUAGAAGCUCAAAUUGUUUGGGCACAGACCUGGAUAGUAUGACAGAACUCUGCAGGCUGUCUCUGCAGUAGAUUGGGUACAGACCUGGAUAGUAUGACAGAACUCUGCAGUAGAUUGGGCACAGACCUGGAUAGUAUGACAGAACUCUGCAGGCUGUCUCUGCAGUAGACUGGGCACAGACCUGGAUAGUAUGACAGAACUCUGCAGGCUGUCUCUGCAGUAGAUUGGGCACAGACCUGGAUAGUAUGACAGAACUCUGCAGGCUGUCUCUGCAGUAGACUGGGCACAGACCUGGAUAGUAUGACAGAACUCUGCAGGCUGUCUCUGC